UCUUACAUCGUGUGAGAGACUUAUGCGGAUAACAACCGCGUACCCAGGAGAACUGGGAUUGGACUCCUUUAAAGGAGAAAACAAAUG
rnacentral:ncRNA from 1 species